rnacentral:rRNA from 1 species
GACGAACGCUGGCGGCGCGCUUAACACAUGCAAGUCGAACGGAAAGGCCCUGCUUUUGUGGGGUGCUCGAGUGGCGAACGGGUGAGUAACACGUGAGUAACCUGCCCUUGACUUUGGGAUAACUUCAGGAAACUGGGGCUAAUACCGGAUAGGAGCUCCUGCUGCAUGGUGGGGGUUGGAAAGUUUCGGUGGUUGGGGAUGGACUCGCGGCUUAUCAGCUUGUUGGUGGGGUAGUGGCUUACCAAGGCUUUGACGGGUAGCCGGCCUGAGAGGGUGACCGGCCACAUUGGGACUGAGAUACGGCCCAGACUCCUACGGGAGGCAGCAGUGGGGAAUAUUGCACAAUGGGCGGAAGCCUGAUGCAGCAACGCCGCGUGCGGGAUGACGGCCUUCGGGUUGUAAACCGCUUUCGCCUGUGACGAAGCGUGAGUGACGGUAAUGGGUAAAGAAGCACCGGCUAACUACGUG